rnacentral:rRNA from 1 species
CCUACGGGCGUCAGCAGUGAGGAAUAUUGGUCAAUGGACGAGAGUCUGAACCAGCCAAGUAGCGUGAAGGAUGACUGCCCUAUGGGUUGUAAACUUCUUUUAUAAAGGAAUAAAACGAGGCACGUGUGCCUUUUUGCAUGUACUUUAUGAAUAAGGAUCGGCUAACUCCGUGCCAGCAGCCGCGGUAAUACGGAGGAUCCGAGCGUUAUCCGGAUUUAUUGGGUUUAAAGGGAGCGUAGAUGGGGUGUUAAGUCAGUUGUGAAAGUUUGCGGCUCAACCGUAAAAUUGCAAUUGAUACUGGCAGUCGUGAGUACAGUUGAGGUAAGCGGAAUUCGUGGUGUAGCGGUGAAAUGCUGAGAGAUCACGAAGAACCCCGAUUGCGAAGGCAGCUUACUAAACUGUGACUGACAUUGAUGCUCGAAAGUGUGGGUAUCAAACAGGAUUAGAUACCCUUGUAGUC